AACGAACGCUGGCGGCAUGCCUAACACAUGCAAGUCGAACGAGACCUUCGGGUCUAGUGGCGCACGGGUGCGUAACGCGUGGGAACCUGCCCUUAGGUUCGGAAUAACUCCCCGAAAGGGGUGCUAAUACCGGAUAAUGUCUUCGGACCAAAGAUUUAUCGCCUUUGGAUGGGCCCGCGUUGGAUUAGCUAGUUGGUAGGGUAAAAGCCGACCAAGGCGACGAUCCAUAGCUGGUCUGAGAGGAUGAUCAGCCACACUGGGACUGAGACACGGCCCAGACUCCUACGGGAGGCAGCAGUGGGGAAUAUUGGACAAUGGGCGAAAGCCUGAUCCAGCCAUGCCGCGUGAGUGAUGAAGGCCUUAGGGUUGUAAAGCUCUUUUACCCGGGAUGAUAAUGACAGUACCGGGAGAAUAAGCUCCGGCUAACUCCGUG
rnacentral:rRNA from 1 species